AUGGAUGGCGGGGCGAAAGGGCCAAGACCUGCGACUGAUUUUGCGGCGCAUCAGCAGCAAGCAAUGGCGGGCCUGUACGUGCCAGUGGAUCUACAUAAGGUGUCGGCGCAGGGCUGGCACUGCGGCCAGGUGACGUCGCUACCGCCGCCCAGCACCAUGCAGAGCUGCCGCGCGAGCCGGCCCACGCCAACGCGCGAGAAGUACUCGCCGCUGCCCUGCCCGACGCCGGACACCACGGCUCCUGUACCUCUCUUGCCGACGCCUCGAAGACCGGCGUGGUGUUGGCCGGCUUCAGGUCGGCGCGGGAGAUCGCGUCGGCGGCCCGGGGAGUCGCGGCGUAGGCGGGGGAGCACGUGGGACUUGUAG
rnacentral:rRNA from 1 species